GCCUGCUUCCGGACGGGUGAGGAGACUCGUGGUCUGGUUCUAGGACUUCCCUAACAGCAUGGCCCCUAAACGCCAGUCUCCACUCCUGCCUCAAAAGAAGAAACCAAGACCACCGCCUGCUCUGGGACCGGAGGAGACAUCGGCCUCUGCAGGCUUGCCGAAGAAGGGAGAAAAAGAACAGCAAGAAGCAAUUGAACACACUGAUGAAGUACAAAAUGAAAUAGACAGACUUAAUGAACAAGCCAGUGAGGAGAUUUUGAAAGUAGAACAGAAAUAUAACAAACUCCGCCAACCAUUUUUUUCAGAAGAGGUCAGAAUUGAUCGCCAAAAUCCCAAAUUUUUGGGUAACAACAUUUGUCAACCAUCCACAAGUGUCUGCACUGCUUGGGGAGGAAGACGAAGAGGCACUGCAUUAUUUGACCAGAGUUGAACUGACAGAAUUUGAAGAUAUUAAAUCAGGUUACAGAAUAGAUUUUUAUUUUGAUGAAAAUCCUUACUUUGAAAAUAAAGUUCUCUCCAAAGAAUUUCAUCUGAAUGAGAGUGGUGAUCCAUCUUCAAAGUCCACCGAAAUCAAAUGGAAAUCUGGAAAGGAUUUGACGAAACGUUCAAGUCAAAUGCAGAAUAAAGCCAGCAGGAAGAGGCAGCAUGAGGAACCAGAGAGCUUCUUUACCUGGUUUACUGACCAUUCUGAUGCAGGUGCUGAUGAGUUAGGAGAGGUCAUCAAAGAUGAUAUUUGGCCAAACCCAUUACAGUACUACUUGGUUCCUGAUAUGGAUGAUGAAGAAGGAGAAGGAGAAGAAGAAUGAUGAUGAUGAUGAUGAAGAGGAGGAAGGAUUAGAAGAUAUUGAUGAAGAAGGGGAUGAGGAUGAAGGUGAAGAAGAUGAAGAUGGUGAUGAAGGGGAGGAAGGAGAGGAGGAUGAAGGAGAAGAUGACUAAUAGAACACUGAUGGAUUCCAACCUUCCUUUUUUUAAAUUUUCUCCAGUCCCUGGGAGCAAGUUGCAGUCUUUUUUUUUUUUUUUUUUUUUUUUUUUUCCUCUUGUGCUCAGUCACCCUGUUCUUGAGGUCUCUUUUCUCUACUCCAUGGUUCUCAACUUAUUUGGGGGGAAAUACCUUGAGCAGAAUACAAUGGGAAGAGAGUCUCUACCCCUUUCUGUUCGAAGUUCAUUUUUAUCCCUUCCUGUCUCAACAAAAACUGUAUGGAAUCAACACCACAGAGCUCUGUGGGAAAAAAGAAAACCCUGCUCCCUUCACUCUGCUAGAAGCUGGAGGGUGCUAGGCCCCUGUGUAGUAGUGCAUAGAAUUCUAGCUUUUUUCCUCCUUUCUCUGUAUAUUGGGCUCAGAGAGUACACUGUGUCUCUAUGUGAAUAUGGACAGUUAGCAUUUACCAACAUGUAUCUGUCUACUUUCUCUUGUUUAAAAAAAGAAAAAAAACUUUAAAAAAUGGGGUUAUAGAAGGUCAGCAAAGGGUGGGUUUGAGAUGUUUGGGUGGGUUAAGUGGGCAUUUUGACAACAUGGCUUCUCCUUUGGCAUGUUUAAUUGUGAUAUUUGACAGACAUCCUUGCAGUUUAAGAUGACACUUUUAAAAAUAAAUUCUCUCCUAAUGAUGACUUGAGCCCUGCCACUCAAUGGGAGAAUCAGCAGAACCUGUAGGAUCUUAUUUGGAAUUGACAUUCUCUAUUGUAAUUUUGUUCCUGUUUAUUUUUAAAUUUUCUUUUUGUUUCACUGGAAAGGAAAGAUGAUGCUCAGUUUUAAACGUUAAAAGUGUACAAGUUGCUUUGUUACAAUAAAACUAAAUGUGUACACA